GGUUGGUCCAAGUACAGUGGUGUUUACAACUAAUUGAUCACAAUCAGUUACAGAUUCCUUUGUUCCUUUUCUAUUCCCACUGCUUCACCUAACCGGCCUAAA
ensembl:misc_RNA Y_RNA Y RNA